AAUGCCGGAUGCUCCAGUUGAUCGCAUGGUCUUCUGGGAAAGCUUUCGCGGUAUGGGAUGGGGUCGCGUCCUAUCAGCUUGACGGCGGGGUAACGGCCCACCGUGGCUUCGACGGGUAGCCGGCCUGAGAGGGCGACCGGCCACAUUGGGACUGAGAUACGGCCCAGACUCCUACGGGAGGCAGCAGUGGGGAAUAUUGCACAAUGGGCGCAAGCCUGAUGCAGCGACGCCGCGUGAGGGAUGGAGGCCUUCGGGUUGUAAACCUCUUUUAUCGGGGAGCAAGCGUGAGUGAGUUUACCCGUUGAAUAAGCACCGGCUAACUACGUGCCAGCAGCCGCGGUAAUACGUAGGGUGCAAGCGUUAUCCGGAAUUAUUGGGCGUAAAGGGCUCGUAGGCGGUUCGUCGCGUCCGGUGUGAAAGUCCAUCGCUUAACGGUGGAUCCGCGCCGGGUACGGGCGGGCUUGAGUGCGGUAGGGGAGACUGGAAUUCCCGGUGUAACGGUGGAAUGUGU
rnacentral:rRNA from 1 species